rnacentral:rRNA from 1 species
GCAAAAGCUCAAAUUUGAAAUCUGGUACCUUCGGUGCCCGAGUUGUAAUUUGUAGAAGGUAACUUUGGGGCUGGUCCUUGUCUAUGUUCCUUGGAACAGGACGUCAUAGAGGGUGAGAAUCCCGUGUGGCGAGGAUCCCAGUUCUAUGUAAAGUGCUUUCGAAGAGUCGAGUUGUUUGGGAAUGCAGCUCUAAGUGGGUGGUAAAUUCCAUCUAAAGCUAAAUAUUGGCGAGAGACCGAUAGCGAACAAGUACAGUGAUGGAAAGAUGAAAAGAACUUUGAAAAGAGAGUGAAAAAGUACGUGAAAUUGUUGAAAGGGAAGGGCAUUUGAUCAGACAUGGUGUUUUGCGCCCUCUGCUCCUUGUGGGUGGGGGAAUCUCGCAGCUCACUGGGCCAGCAUCAGUUUUGGCGGUAGGAUAAAUCUGCAGGAAUGUAGCUUGCUUCGGCAAGUGUUAUAGCCUGUUGAAAUACUGCCAGCCGGGACUGAGGACUGCGACUUUUAGUCAAGGAUGCUGGCAUAAUGGUUAUAUGCCGCCCGUCUUGAAACACGG